rnacentral:rRNA from 1 species
GAAAUUGUAAUUCCGGUGAAGAUGCCGGAUACCUGCGACAGGACGGAAAGACCCCAUGGAGCUUUACUGUAGCUUGACAUUGGGUCUUGGUACUACAUGUACAGGAUAGGGGGGAGGCUUUGAAACCAGGACGCCAGUUUUGGCGGAGCCAUCCUUGGGAUACCACCCUUGUAGUACUGGGACUCUAACCAUAGGCCAUGAAUCUGG